rnacentral:rRNA from 1 species
UACGUAGGGGGCGAGCGUUGUCCGGAUUCAUUGGGCGUAAAGAGCUCGUAGGCGGUUUGGUAAGUCGGGUGUGAAAACCCCAGGCUCAACCUGGGGACGCCACCUGAUACUGCCAUGACUUGAGUCUGGUAGGGGAUCACGGAAUUCCUGGUGUAGCGGUGAAAUGCGCAGAUAUCAGGAGGAACACCGGUGGCGAAGGCGGUGAUCUGGGCCAGUACUGACGCUGAGGAGCGAAAGCGUGGGUAGCAAACAGG